rnacentral:lncRNA from 1 species
UUGUUUCUGCUUUCCAAAUUCCAAGUUCCAAGUUUCAACAUAAUUUAAUAUAUACGCCACCAAUGGCGCUGGUUACUACCAGAGUUUGCACUCUUGUUUUCAUUGUUUUAUGAUAGUUGGCGUAAUCAACACAACAACGCCAAAGGUUGAAGCUGUGACGCUGAAGUGGUUUUUAUCAGUCAUGAACGCUAUGCAAGACCACUCAAGUUAAUACGACUAACGAUACGAACAAAUACAAUUCUGUAGCCAACUCUAAGCCCACGACAUAUUAAGCAGCGUCUUACCCGACAGUGACAUUACUUAUGUCAUCUACAUUUCAGGAAACGAACUCGUAUGCAGUUUUUUUGUGUGUACAUCGUUUUCUGCAGCUAAAUUUUACUAGAGAUGAGACAAAAAGGCAGUAUCAAUUAAAUGCUAAGACGCGAUCCAACAGAAGUCUUUGAUAACACGAGCAGGUCGCAUACAUUCUCGAACGAGCUAUUAAAGAAUGGAUAAGUGACCGCAACGACCCUUGAUCCUGCCACGGCCCUAAAAAACUACUCGCAAAACUAAGAACAAUAAAAUUUAAAGAGAUCCGAAAAAAAAUUCCGGACGAAUCUAUAAAGCAAAAAUAUCUAAUCGUCCCCUUCAGCACCCAAGGCAACGUUUAAUUCUAGUAUAGACCGAUGCUCGUGUAGGAUUCUGCUUCCCUUCCUACGAAUUACAACCAGUUUUCAAAGGAAAGAACCGGUACACAUUUACAUAUUCAGCACUCAAGCAGAUACAACAGAUGGUGAACAAAAUCAUGGAGACCAAACAAAGGAUAAUUUAUGUCUGCAAAGUCGCUGAAUUUCUUGCUGCGCUAGACAGUGCCAUUUGUUUGGUCGGAAAUGACGGAUGGGUCAGGUCUAGAGCCAAGAAAAAAGGAAAAAAAAGCGGGAUUACAAUAAUAAUAAAAAAAAAAAAAAAAGGAAGACUCUUACAGUUGCUCCUUAGGAGAUGAAUUUGGGUUCUGUCGAUGCUACUAAUGGUAGGUUUUCAGCAGAACCUGAAAAAAAAAAAACGAAAAAUUCUGGGUUAUGCAUUCAGGUAUGUAAAAUAUGAUAUUUAAAAAAACCUGCACUUGGGGAAUCAGAUACUUCCAUAGGAGUUGUACCAGCCGGGUUAUCAAAAUCUGCUUUAGAAAAAUUCGCCCAACUCUGUUCUUCUUCUUCGCCUGCGCUACAAGUUGGGACACUUUCCCAAGGAUUUCCGGCAUCUGCUGCCACUGGGAUACCUGAAUCACCAUCUGACGCCCAGGCUAAAAAUUAUGACCAGCAAGCUUUAUUCUAUAUAAAACUAAAAGCGUAAAAACAGACUUACGAUCCAAACUAUCAAUGUCCAUCGAGUCGUUCGCAACGUCAGCAAUCGUAUUUUCUUCAUCAGAAACAAAUUCUGGUCGGACAGUGGAUGCGUUCUCACUGAUUAAACACAACGACUUUGUUUUUUCAAAGGUCAAAAUAUAACUACAACGUUUUGAUGAUUUACCUCGAUCGUCUUCGGCUCUGUAGCCAAGUUUCGUUGUCUUCAGCAUCAUCAUCACCAUCAAGUGUUUUCGGUCGCGUAUGCAUCCGUUCAUUGCAAACCUGCUCGAAGAGCUCUGACUGCUGCGUGAGCUCAUCUCCAUCUUGUGGCAAGGCUAUAUUCGCCAGGGUUUCAGGCUGUGGCCUUCAUAAUUUAAAUACAAAUUGUACUUCAAUGUCACUUUAAUCGAUUAUAACAAUUGGCUGACCUCAACUGAUCCUCGCUAUCAUUAAACUGCGAAUCGGCAAAACCAAAUUGCGUUACAAUGGGUUUAGUCAUGACUUCCAUCUGGUAUUCAGCGAACACCUAAAGAUUGUAGUCGAUAAUUUGCUAACGAAAGGUUUUAAGGUUCUAACCUCCUGCGCAGCCGUAUCCUUCGGCACACGAAUUAAAUCCGAUUCCUCUUCAUCGGAACUAACACGAGGCGCUACCAUAUGAGACUGAAAAGGGAGGAGAGGAGAGGAGAGGAGAGGAGAG